ACUGGGUUCCUGCCUUCUGUGCCGGUGAGGAUUCGCUCUGUUUUGGGUGGCUCACCGGCUGAGAGCGGACAGCAGUCCCUGAGCUCUUCUGCUAAGAUGCCCACCGGAGCAAAAGGAACCAAGUGAAUCUCCCCGUCGUGGAUGUGAUUCAUGAGCCAGAGUUAUGAACGUCUCCCAAAACGCCCCGUUUCUCGUGGGAAUCCCUCCGUAACCUUAUGUGUUUUUCUAAGAGUUUAGGUGUCUGAAAUAUCCCAACUAUGAUGAGUUUAUAAUUCUAUGUGAAUAAAACAUGUACUUUAUCCUCAAUGAAA